rnacentral:rRNA from 1 species
AACGAACGCUGGCGGCAUGCCUAACACAUGCAAGUCGAACGAGACCUUCGGGUCUAGUGGCGCACGGGUGCGUAACGCGUGGGAACCUGCCCUUAGGUUCGGAAUAACUCCCCGACAGGGGUGCUAAUACCGGAUAAUGUCCUCGGACCAAAGAUUUAUCGCCUUUGGAUGGGCCCGCGUUGGUUUAGCUAGUUGGUAGGGUAAAAGCCUAUCAAGGCGACGAUCCAUAGCUGGUCUGAGAGGAUGAUCAGCCACACUGGGACUGAGACCCGGCCCAGACUCCUACGGGAGGCAGCAGUGGGGGAUAUUGGACAAUGGGCGAAAGCCUGAUCCAGCAAUGCCGCGUGAGUGAUGAAGGCCUUAGGGUUGUAAAGCUCUUUUACCCGGGAUGAUAAUGACAGUACCGGGAGAAUAAGCUCCGGCUAACUCCGUG